rnacentral:rRNA from 5 species
CAAACGACUCUCGGCAACGGAUAUCUCGGCUCACGCAUCGAUGAAGAACGUAGCAAAAUGCGAUACUUGGUGUGAAUUGCAGAAUCCCGUGAACCAUCGAGUUUUUGAACGCAAGUUGCGCCCGAAACCAUUUGGUUGAGGGCACGUCUGCCUGGGCGUCACGCA